rnacentral:lncRNA from 1 species
GUUUAACGUACCGAGUAAGAAUAUAUUUUAAGUUUUCAGUUUCAACCCCAUUUGGUCACCGAAAAUUGUACCGAACUGUAAUCUUUAUCAGAUAGCUGUCGUAUUCUAUUUCUCACUCUACGGGUGUCAGAAAAAUAUGAAACUUUAAAUCUAGCCUCAUAAAAUAUUUCUGACAUAUCCUCCAAUUUUCAUAAUUUUCUGAGACUGUGCAUUUUCUGCUAAUUUAUCUGUCCCGUUUCCAACAGAAAAUUCUAAAUCUUCUGUUUUCAUUCCGAUUUCAGCACAAGUCACUUCUGACUUAUGUUUUACUUCUACAAAUUCAAUAAAAAUAGUUUCUCACACUAUUUUUAUUUAUUUUUAUUUUUAUACUAAAAUCUGGUAUGUUACAUUCUCCACCCCUUAAAAAGAAUUUCGUCCGCGAAAUUCAAACCACGCCUCAAUUCAGCUCCGCGAGCAAUUGAGGGUACCAACUCUUUCUCCCACUCCAGAGCGGCUUCACACUAUCGUUGUUCCAGAAGCGGCUCAUACCGAAGGACGUGGGUUUAAUCCUAAACUCAUUUGCAAAGUGUGAUACAAACGUGCAUCACGGGUCUUACAAGUCAUAGUGGCAGCGCAAGUCGGUACUCGACGACUCUACGCGCUCCAACACCACUCACCAUUCGAUACACAAAGAACUCUUCUUUGCACUUACCUUCCCU